rnacentral:rRNA from 1 species
GGAAUAUUGGUCAAUGGGCGAGAGCCUGAACCAGCCAAGUAGCGUGCAGGAUGACUGCCCUAUGGGUUGUAAACUGCUUUUAUAUAGGGAUAAAGUCACCCACGUGUGGGUGUUUGUAGGUACUAUAUGAAUAAGGACCGGCUAAUUCCGUGCCAGCAGCCGCGGUAAUACGGAAGGUCCGGGCGUUAUCCGGAUUUAUUGGGUUUAAAGGGAGCGCAGGCGGCACUUCAAGCGUGACGUUAAAUUUCGGGGCUCACCCCCGUCUUGCGUCGCGAACUGUCGUGCUUGAGUGCGCCGUAUGCAGGUGGAAUUCGUGGUGUAGCGGUGAAAUGCUUAGAUAUCACGAGGAACCCCGAUAGCGAAGGCAGCCUGCAGUGGCGUUACUGACGCUCAUGCUCGAAGGUGCGGGUAUCGAACA